CCUACGGGAGGCAGCAGUGGGGAAUUUUGGACAAUGGGCGCAAGCCUGAUCCAGCCAUGCCGCGUGUGGGAAGAAGGCCUUCGGGUUGUAAACCACUUUUGUCAGGGAAGAAACGGUCUGAACUAAUACUUUGGACUAAUGACGGUACCUGAAGAAUAAGCACCGGCUAACUACGUGCCAGCAGCCGCGGUAAUACGUAGGGUGCAAGCGUUAAUCGGAAUUACUGGGCGUAAAGCGUGCGCAGGCGGCUUUGCAAGACAGAUGUGAAAUCCCCGGGCUCAACCUGGGAACUGCAUUUGUGACUGCAUGGCUAGAGUACGGUAGAGGGGGAUGGAAUUCCGCGUGUAGCAGUGAAAUGCGUAGAUAUGCGGAGGAACACCGAUGGCGAAGGCAAUCCCCUGGACCUGUACUGACGCUCAUGCACGAAAGCGUGGGGAGCAAACAGGAUUAGAUACCCUGGUAGUCCACGCCCUAAACGAUGUCAACUGGUUGUUGGGAGGGUUUCUUCUCAGUAACGAAGCUAACGCGUGAAGUUGACCGCCUGGGGAGUACGGCCGCAAGGUUGAAACUCAAAGGAAGUUGACGG
rnacentral:rRNA from 1 species